GCAAGUCGAACGAGAAAGGGAUUGCUUGCAAUCCCGAGUAGAGUGGCGCACGGGUGAGUAACACGUAGAUAAUCUACCUUCAAGCCUGGAAUAACUGUUCGAAAGGGCAGCUAAUACCGGAUAAAGUGUAUCUACAUAAGUAGAUAUAUGAAAGACAGCCUCUGCAUAUGCUGUUGUUUGGGGAUGAGUCUGCGGACCAUUAGUUUGUUGGUGGGGUAAAGGCCUACCAAGACUGCGAUGGUUAGCUGGUCUGAGAGGAUGAUC
rnacentral:rRNA from 1 species